UACGUAGGGGGCAAGCGUUGUCCGGAAUCAUUGGGCGUAAAGAGCGUGUAGGCGGCCCGGUAAGUCCGCUGUGAAAGUCCAGGGCUCAACCCUCGAAUGCCGGUGGAUACUGUCGGGCUAGAGUGCGGAAGAGGCGAGUGGAAUUCCUGGUGUAGCGGUGAAAUGCGCAGAUAUCAGGAGGAACACCGAUUGCGAAGGCAGCUCGCUGGGACGUCACUGACGCUGAGACGCGAAAGCGUGGGGAGCAAACAGG
rnacentral:rRNA from 1 species